rnacentral:rRNA from 1 species
AUUGAACGCUGGCGGCAUGCUUUACACAUGCAAGUCGAACGGUAACAGGCCGCAAGGUGCUGACGAGUGGCGAACGGGUGAGUAAUGCAUCGGAACGUGCCCAGUCGUGGGGAUAACUACUCGAAAGAGUAGCUAAUACCGCAUACGAUCUAUGGAUGAAAGCGGGGGACCGUAAGGCCUCGCGCGAUUGGAGCGGCCGAUGUCAGAUUAGGUAGUUGGUGGGGUAAAGGCUCACCAAGCCAACGAUCUGUAGCUGGUCUGAGAGGACAACCAGCCAUACUGGGACUGAGACACGGCCCAGACUCCUACGGGAGGCAGCAGUGGGGAAUUUUGGACAAUGGGCGCAAGCCUGAUCCAGCAAUGCCGCGUGCAGGAAGAAGGCCUUCGGGUUGUAAACUGCUUUUGUACGGAACGAAACGGCUCUGGUUAAUACCCGGGGCUAAUGACGGUACCGUAAGAAUAAGCACCGGCUAACUACGUG